rnacentral:lncRNA from 1 species
GGUGGCACAGAGCCCAGGAGAGAGGACCUGGGGCAUCCCAGGCGGUGGAACACACGGGCCCUCCCCCACUGCCAGCGUGCCCCAUGCCUGCUGAGAGCGUCCCAGCCCCUCCCUGAGGGAUGCUCCUCACCCCCGCCCAUGGCAGGAAGCUGGGAGCAGCUCUUCUCAGGCGCCUCCGCCCCCCUGAAUAUCCACCAGCCUCGGGUGUGGGUACAGGGUAUGGUGCUGUCAUCCCCGGCCGUCUGGAAUGGCUGCCAGGGCUCACUGACCUUAAGACCUAUAGCAGGGGAGUGUGGGAUUAGACCUCAGGAAGAAUUUACCAAGGGGGAGUGCCUGGGCUCCCUCCUGUGAGGGACUGUGUCUGACCUCAGUCUAGAGCCAGAGGUGAUGGGACUAAUAAAUAAGCCAGAGAGAUACCCAUCGGACCAGAAAAAUGGAGGGGACUUAUGUCCUGGGGUUGUGUCAAGUGUAUACGUCUAUGGGCCAGCAACUGUGUCAGUGUGUAGAUAUGGCUUUAUCUGUACAUGAAUGGUGUGUGUGUGUGUUUACACAGACAUGGAAGGCUGAAAAGGAAGAGGAACUUCCAAAUAAGGAGAAGAGGUGCUGCAGAGAAGUGGAUCCAGAUUCAGUUUCUCUGCAGGGAUCCCCCCCACACACUGUCCCCAUCACACUGGCAAAACCUUGGCUCCUGCCUCCUUAUCUGCAAUGAUCUCAGCAGAAAAGAGCUCCCACUGAAGAGAAAACUGAGGCUUGGAUAUCAUAAGUGAUCUGCCCAAGGUCACACAACCGGUGAGGGGACAGAGGCAGGAAUCCAGAUCUGUGUGGCUUCGGAGCCUGAAGUCUUCUGGUUCAUCACAUGGGAAACUGUGAACCAGUGUUUUACUGCACAAACAUCAGUCAAGAGUCACAGAUCAAAAGCUCUGUGAGGGCAAGGUGUCUGCUUGCCAUUUCACCAUUCAUUCACUCAGUGAAUAUUUGCUGACUACUUACCUUGUACCUGGUGGUGGGUGCCACGGGCCCCAGCUGUGAAUGGAUGGACAAGGUCCCUGACUUCACAGAACUCACAGUCCAGGGGGGCAACAAGUUACAUGUGUGUAAAUAAACAACAUAUUUUCAGAGCAAUGAGUAUUGCCAAGGAAAUAUAACAGGGGUAUGGGAUGAAGCAACUGGGGGUGGGGUAGGGCUAUUUUAGAGGUGUGGUCAGGGGAGGCUCCCUGGAGGAAGUGACCUUGGAGCUGAGACCUUCUUGAUAAGGAGUCAGCCAUGGGAAUUGCCGGGGGAAGGGUUUGGAGUUUUCUAAGAGCAGCAAGGAGAACUCUGUGGCUGCAGCAUGGUGUGGGGUGGGGGUAGGGGACUGGAGAUGGGUCUGAAAGGCUGCUAAGGGCCAGGCUAUGCAGGGUCUGGAAGGCCACAUUGUCAAGUGCAGUGGGAAGCCACUAGCAGGCUUAAGAGGUGCCCUGAUUUACACUUUUAAAGAGAUGGCUCAGUUCAGUGGGCUCCAGGAGAAUGGACUGAGGUGGGGGAGGUAGGAGUGGAAGCCCAGAAAUUAAGUAAGGGAGAAUCUGGGCACUGGAUGAUGGUGGCGUGGACUCCCCUGUUGGCAGUGGGGAUGUAACGAGUGGAUAGAUGUGGGAUAUUUUGGGAGGUAGAAGCAACAAGACUUGCUGAUGGCCGGGAUCCCAGUGCCUAGAACAUAGUAGACUCAAUAAAUAUUUGUUGAAUAAAUGAAUAAAGGCGCC